GUGUCUGAGCCUUCUUCCCUGUUCCCCCUCUCUAAUCCUUGCUAUCUGGGUGCUAGUGCUAUCUCAAUGCAAUGCACCUAGGCAAGGAUUCAGAGAGGGUGAGCUCGA
ensembl:miRNA microRNA 502